rnacentral:rRNA from 1 species
AUUGAACGCUGGCGGCAGGCCUAACACAUGCAAGUCGAACGAGUGGCGGACGGGUGAGUAAUGUCUGGGAAACUGCUCGAUGGAGGGGGAUAACUACUGGAAACGGUAGCUAAUACCGCAUACCAUUGGAUGUGCCCAGAUGGGAUUAGCUAGUCGGUGGGGUAACGGCUCACCUAGGCGACGAUCCCUAGCUGGUCUAGGAGGAUGACCAGCCACACUGGAACUGAGACACGGUCCAGACUCCUACGGGAGGCAGCAGUGGGGAAUAUUGCACAAUGGGCGCAAACCUGAUGCAGCCAUGCCGCGUGUAUGAAGAAGGCCUUCGGUUUGUAAAGUACUUUCAGCGAGGAGGCGUUACUCGCAGAAGAAGCACCGGAUGACUCCAUGCCAGCAGCCGCGGUAAUAC